UAUUUAAAUAGUUUAUGUAAAAUAGUAAAUUGUGGAUUUACAGAAGUCAAAGUACUUUAGAUAA
rnacentral:tRNA from 1 species